CCUACGGGUGGCAGCAGUGAGGAAUAUUGGUCAAUGGACGAGAGUCUGAACCAGCCAAGUAGCGUGAAGGAUGACUGCCCUAUGGGUUGUAAACUUCUUUUAUAAAGGAAUAAAACGAGGCACGUGUGCCUUUUUGCAUGUACUUUAUGAAUAAGGAUCGGCUAACUCCGUGCCAGCAGCCGCGGUAAUACGGAGGAUCCGAGCGUUAUCCGGAUUUAUUGGGUUUAAAGGGAGCGUAGAUGGGUUGUUAAGUCAGUUGCGAAAGUUUGCGGCUCAACCGUAAAAUUGCAAUUGAUACUGGCAGUCUUGAGUACAGUUGAGGUAGGCGGAAUUCGUGGUGUAGCGGUGAAAUGCUUAGAUAUCACGAAGAACCCCGAUUGCGAAGGCAGCUUACUAAACUGUGACUGACAUUGAUGCUCGAAAGUGUGGGUAUCAAACAGGAUUAGAUACCCGUGUAGUC
rnacentral:rRNA from 1 species